AAGUCGUAACAAGGUUUCCGUAGGUGAACCUGCGGAAGGAUCAUUAAAGGAUUCGGCUUCGCGGCCAAGUUCUCACCCUUUGUAUACCGAAACCAUGUUGCUUUGGCAGGCCCCUGCAUUUCUCGGCCGUGCCAGGAUGGUUAAUAAACCCCUAGAAUCUCUGCUGUCUGAGUACUAUGCAAUAGUUAAAA
rnacentral:misc_RNA from 1 species